GCACCAGAAUAAAUACUAAUAAAAAGCUUCAACUCUGAGCUCUCAAGAGCCACUUGUGAGUCAAAGCAUUAAAACAAAUUUCCCAAUAUAUUUGCCUUGCCAAUCCUCCUUGUUUCAGCAAUCUUGGCUGCACAAGUUAAGUGUGCCUAAGGAGAAAGACUACAUCUGAAUAGUUUUUGAUGGUACAGAGGAAAUGUUACUUAGUAGAGCCAGUGAGCUCUACUUUUGAGCAUGAGCUAGGAUGAGUGGGGCUUCAUACAGAAAAUGGGAUGAACCAGAGAAGAUGGGAAGGCUGUGUGGAAAAUUGAGAUACCUGGAAUUUUAAGUAGAGGUCAUAUCACAGAUAAUUCCAAAUAAUGGAAUAACCACUUUAACUUCAAAAUAUCCCUGAAGCAAUGCUUUUAAGAAAUUAGAAGUUCCUUUUGGUCAUCAUGGAGAUAGUUUCAAGGACAGAACUAAAUCUGUCAUUUAAAUUUAAUGCUUAGGACAAAUAGUUUGGCAAUCUUAGGAAAAAGAGACAGAGUGUGAGCAGGGGAGGGGUAGAGAGAGAGAGGGAGACACAGAAUCUGAAGCAGGCUCCAGGCUCUGAGCUGUCAGUACAGAGCCUGACAUGGGGCUUGAACUUGUGAAUUGCCAGAUCAUGACCUGAGCCGAAACUGGACGCUUAACCAACUGAGCCAUGCAGGUGCUACUAGAGCUUUAUUUUUGAUUAAACUGUUUCAAAAUUUAAUUUUCCUUAAGAAUGAUGAAUACAAUUUAACAU